CAGGUGUCCCCAGGUGUCCCCAGGUGUCCCCAGGUGUAUCUCAGACACUCCCAGGUGUAUUUUGGGUGUGUCCCCCUUGUCCCAGGUGUAUUUUGGGUGUGUCCCAGGUGUAUUUUGGGUGUGUCCCCAUUGUCCCCAGGUGUCCCCAGCUGUCCCCAGGUGUCCCCAGGUGUCCCCAGGUGUCCCCAGGUGUAUCUCAGACACUCCCAGGUGUGUCCCAGGUGUAUUUUGGGUGUGUCCCAGGUGUAUUUUGGGCAUGUCCCCAUUGUCCCCAGGUGUCACAGCUGUCUCUCAGGUG